rnacentral:snoRNA from 1 species
GGAUGUGAUGACAACUUGUUGACACCCAGUCUUAGUGCUCCUACGGUGCACACUGGUGAAUUAUUACUUGUCUGAUCC